ACGCUCACUUUGGCAGCACAUAUAGUAAAACUGCAAUGAUACAGAGAAGCUAGCAUGACCCCUGUGCAAGGAUGACACACAAAUUUGUGAAGCAUUCCAUACUGUU